UUCUCUCCUCUCUUUCCUUCUUUACUCUCUUUUCCUCUCUCUUCUCUAUUUCUUUUCUCUGCCUUCUCUCUUUCUCCUCUCUCUUUCCUCUCUCCCCUCUCUCUUUUUCCGUCUUUCCUCUCUCUCUCAUUUCUAUCUUCUCUCUUCUCUCCUCUCUUUCCUUCUUUACUCUCUUUUCCUCUCUCUUCUCUAUUUCUUUUCUCUGCCUUCUCUCUUUCUCCUCUCUCUUUUCUCUCCCCUCUCUCUUUCCCUCUUUCCUCUCUUUUUUCUCUCCCCCCUCUCUCUCCUCUCACUCACUCUCUCUCUUUCUCACCCCUCUUUAAGUAUCAAUUCUUAGAUAGAAGAGCGAUAAGGCCUAGGCCAUUAGGGUUACGUGACUUGCCCAAGGUCAUACAACUAGGAAGUAUCUAAGGACAGAUCUGAAUCCAGGACCUCCUAUCUCUAGGCACUGAGCACCCCCCUAGCUGUCCUUCCUCCACCUCUCCUUAGGAAUUUGGGGUUCAGAGACCAUCAAUCAUGCUUCAAGGCAGAGAUCAGACUUCUCUUCUUUUGGAAAAAAAGAACAUCUCUGGGCUUCUCUUCUUAACCAAACUGGCCCAGGGUUCAGGAAUUCCUAGCUCUGUCUCUCAUAGCACACCAUGACGGGGACCAAUCUGGAGAGUUCAAUCCGGGCAAUGAACACACAUUUAUUAGGCACCUGUUAUGUGCCAAGCACUGUGCUAAGCCUCGGAGAUACAAAGACCCGGCCCUGGAGGAUCUCCCAAUAGAAUGAGGAGAGACAACAUGCAAACAGCUGUGUACAAACAAGAGCCAGGCAGGAUAAAUGGGAGAUAAUCAGCAGAGUUCGACCCUGACUGGCACGAAGGAGGAUGGGCAAAGGCUCCUCUGCCGUGCCUUGCUCUAGGGUGGGGAGGAUGAAGGGAAUCCUCGCCUCAGACAUCUUUCGUUGUCUUGUCCCUCAUGGGGGAGGCUGUUCCCCCAGGUUACCCGUGCUUUUUGGGGGGCUCAGGGAGGGGACAGAAGGGGGCUGUCGAAGGCAAAAAAGUGACGACUGCGCAGGCUGAACGGCGAUCGGAACCAAGAGAAUCUACACUGCAAAUGAUUUAAAAACCAAGAGUUUGCCAAUCCCCAGCAGCCUGCCCUCAACUCCCAGUCAAUGGGGCUGGACAGAAAU
rnacentral:lncRNA from 1 species